rnacentral:tRNA from 1 species
GCCGAGAUGGCUCAGUGGCAGAGCAGCUGUUUUGUAAACAGCAGGUCCCGGGUUCGAAUCCCGGUCUCGGCU